UGAACGCUAGCGGCAGGCCUAAUACAUGCAAGUCGAGCGGCAAGUCGAGGAGUAAUCUAAGACCUAGAGCGGCGCACGGGUGCGUAACGCGUAUGCAACCUACCUUAUACUGGGGAAUAGCCCGGAGAAAUCUGGAUUAAUACCCCAUGGUACAUAUUGAAGGCAUCUGAGAUAUGUUAAAGAUUUAUUGGUAUAAGAUGGGCAUGCGUCUGAUUAGCUAGUUGGCGGUGUAACGGACCACCAAGGCGACGAUCAGUAGGGGUUCUGAGAGGAAGGUCCCCCACACUGGCACUGAGAUACGGGCCAGACUCCUACGGGAGGCAGCAGUAGGGAAUAUUGGGCAAUGGUCGGAAGACUGACCCAGCCAUGCCGCGUGCAGGAAGAAGGCCCUCUGGGUUGUAAACUGCUUUUAUCUGGGAAGAAAAGGCCAUGCGUGGCAGAUUGCCGGUACCAGAUGAAUAAGCACCGGCUAACUCCGUGCCA
rnacentral:rRNA from 1 species